rnacentral:RNase_MRP_RNA from 1 species
CAUUUAUGGGACAGAGUGGUUGGGUGAUUACUUCUUCACCCAAGAAAGUCCCCGGGCCCUUGUCUGCAGAGAUGCAGUCCCAGAAACGGGAGAACUUGAGGCGCAGGAUCUUGCUCGCAAUUAGCGGCGGGGCUGAGAAUCGUGUGGAGCCUUGCGAUCCUGUGUCCAAGAGAACUGGCCAUUGUUUCACAGUUAUCCACUCAGCUCACUAUAGUGGGCUAACAGAACGGGGCUUACGAUCUCAUGGAU